AUUGAACGCUGGCGGCAUGCUUUACACAUGCAAGUCGAACGGUAACAGGUUAAGCUGACGAGUGGCGAACGGGGGAGUAAUGCAUCGGAACGUGCCCGGUCGUGGGGGAUAACGCAGCGAAAGCUGCGCUAAUACCGCAUACGAUCUGAGGAUGAAAGCGGGGGACCGUAAGGCCUCGCGCGAUCGGAGCGGCCGAUGUCAGAUUAGGUAGUUGGUGGGGUAAAGGCUCACCAAGCCGACGAUCUGUAGCUGGUCUGAGAGGACGACCAGCCACACCGGGACUGGGACACGGCCCAGACUCCUACGGGAGGCAGCAGUGGGGAAUUUUGGACAAUGGGCGCAAGCCUGAUCCAGCAAUGCCGCGUGCAGGAAGAAGGCCUUCGGGUUGUAAACUGCUUUUGUACGGAGCGAAAAGGCUCUCUCUAAUACAGGGGGCUCAUGACGGUACCGUAAGAAUAAGCACCGGCUAACUACGUGCCAGCCGCCGCCGUAA
rnacentral:rRNA from 1 species